rnacentral:rRNA from 1 species
GUGGGGAAUUUUGGGCAAUGGGCGCAAGCCUGACCCAGCCACGCCGCGUGAGUGAUGAAGGCCUUCGGGUUGUAAAGCUCUGUCAGGAGGAACGAAACUUACGGGGUAACGCCCGGAACUGACGGUACCUCCAAAGGAAGCACCGGCUAACUCUGUGCCAGCAGCCGCGGUAAUACAGAGGGUGCAAGCGUUGUUCGGAAUUAUUGGGCGUAAAGCGCGUGUAGGCUGCUUGUUAAGUCGAAUGUGAAAGCCCGCGGCUCAACUGCGGAAGUGCAUUCGAAACUGGCAGGCUUGAGUACCGGAGAGGGUGGUGGAAUUCCCGGUGUAGAGGUGAAAUUCGUAGAGAUCGGGAGGAACACCCGUGGCGAAGGCGGCCACCUGGACGGAUACUGACGCUGAGACGCGAAAGCGUGGGGAGCAAACAGGAUUAGAAACCCCUGUAGUCC